CCUACGGGAGGCAGCAGUGAGGAAUAUUGGUCAAUGGCCGUAAGGCUGAACCAGCCAAGUCGCGUGAAGGAAGAAGGAUCUAUGGUUUGUAAACUUCUUUUAUAGGGGAAUAAAGGUAUCCACGUGUGGAUAUUUGCAUGUACCCUAUGAAUAAGCAUCGGCUAACUCCGUGCCAGCAGCCGCGGUAAUACGGAGGAUGCGAGCGUUAUCCGGAUUUAUUGGGUUUAAAGGGUGCGUAGGUUGUUUUUUAAGUCAGCGGUGAAAGUUUGUGGCUCAACCAUAAAAUUGCAGUUGAUACUGGAAGACGUGAGUGUGGUUGAGGUAGGCGGAAUGCGUGGUGUAGCGGUGAAAUGCAUAGAUAUCACGCAGAACUCCGAUUGCGAAGGCAGCUUACUAAGCUAUAACUGACACUGAAGCUCGAAAGCGUGGGGAUCAAACAGGAUUAGAUACCCUGGUAGUC
rnacentral:rRNA from 1 species